rnacentral:rRNA from 1 species
GAUGAACGCUGGCGGCGUGCCUAACACAUGCAAGUCGAGCGAACAGACGAGGAGUUUGCUUCUUCGACGCUAGCGGCGGACGGGUGAGUAACACGUAGGUAACCUACCUAUAAGUCUGAGAUAACUUCGGGAAACCGGAGCUAAUAUCGGUUAAUAUGUAGAACCGCAUGGUUCGAUAGUGAAAGAUGGCUUUGCUAUCACUUAUAGAUGGACCUCAGCCGUAUUAGCUAGUUCGUACGGUAACGGCUUACCAAGGCAACGAUACGUAGCCGACCUGAGAGGAUGAUCGGCCACACUGGAACUGAGACACGGUCCAGACUCCUACGGGAGGCAGCAGUAGGGAAUCUUCCGCAAUGGGCGAAAGCCUGACGGAGCAACGCCGCGUGAGUGAUGAAGGUCUUCGGAUCGUAAAGCUCCGUUAUUGGGGAGGAAGAAACGUAUAAGUAACUGUGCACGUCUUGACGGUACCUAAUGAAAAAGCCACGGCUAACUACGUG